GGGGUUGUGGCUCAGAGGUAGAGCGCUUACCUAGCAUGCAUGGGGCACGGGGUCCGAACCUCAGCACCA
rnacentral:tRNA from 1 species